AUAAAGGUGAAAGAAAGUAGGAAAAGGAGAAAAAAAGACAGAAAAGGAAACUUUAUGUCAAAAGCAAAGAAAGGCCGUCGUCGACAACCACUAAAGAGAAUAGGAAAAGUUAAAAAAUAAUUCCACAAAAUACAAAAAGUAAUUGAGAAUUGCUGUGACAAGGAUUCAAACCUGGGUGUUUUGCAUUCAACAAAUGAUUUUAUUCCUACAUCAGGACCACAACACCCAUCAGUCAUUUUGUCUAUUGGGUGCUGGCUAAACUUUUUUGUGACAAGGAUUCGAACCUAGGUGUUUUGCACUCAGCAAAGGAUUUUAUUCCUGCAUCAGAACCACAUCACCCAUCAGUCAUUUUAUGUAUUGGGUGCUGGCUAAACUAUUAUAUCCAAUUUGGUAUAUUUUUAAUAUAGCUAUACAUAGUUUAU
rnacentral:lncRNA from 1 species